rnacentral:rRNA from 1 species
AACGAACGCUGGCGGCAUGCCUAACACAUGCAAGUCGAACGAGACCUUCGGGUCUAGUGGCGCACGGGUGCGUAACGCGUGGGAAUCUGCCCCUUGGUUCGGAAUAACAGCGAGAAAUUGCUGCUAAUACCGGAUAAUGACGUAAGUCCAAAGAUUUAUCGCCAAGGGAUGAGGCCCGCGUUAGGAUUAGCUAGUUGGUGUGGUAAAGGCGCACCAAGGCGACGAUCCUUAGCUGGUCUGAGAGGAUGAUCAGCCACACUGGGACUGAGACACGGCCCAGACUCCUACGGGAGGCAGCAGUGGGGAAUAUUGGACAAUGGGCGAAAGCCUGAUCCAGCAA